AUUGAACGCUGGCGGCAGGCCUAACACAUGCAAGUCGAGCGGAUGAAGGGAGCUUGCUCCUGGAUUCAGCGGCGGACGGGUGAGUAAUGCCUAGGAAUCUGCCUGGUAGUGGGGGAUAACGUCCGGAAACGGGCGCUAAUACCGCAUACGUCCUGAGGGAGAAAGUGGGGGAUCUUCGGACCUCACGCUAUCAGAUGAGCCUAGGUCGGAUUAGCUAGUUGGUGGGGUAAAGGCCUACCAAGGCGACGAUCCGUAACUGGUCUGAGAGGAUGAUCAGUCACACUGGAACUGAGACGCGGUCCAGACUCCUACGGGAGGCAGCAGUGGGGAAUAUUGGACAAUGGGCGAAAGCCUGAUCCAGCCAUGCCGCGUGUGUGAAGAAGGUCUUCGGAUUGUAAAGAACUUUAAGUUGGGAGGAAGGGCAGUAAGUUAAUACCUUGCUGUUUUGACGUUACCAACAGAAUAAGCACCGGCUAACUUCGUG
rnacentral:rRNA from 1 species